UACGUAGGUGGCAAGCGUUGUCCGGAAUCACUGGGCGUAAAGCGCGCGCAGGCGGCGAUCUACGUCUGGGGUGAAAGCCCGGAGCUCAACUCCGGGACUGCCUUGGAUACGGGAUCGCUUGAGGAUUGGAGAGGCAAGGGGAAUUCCACGUGUAGCGGUGAAAUGCGUAGAUAUGUGGAGGAACACCUGUGGCGAAGGCGGCUACCUGGACCGGUUCUGACGCUGAGGCGCGAAAGCGUGGGUAGCAAACAGG
rnacentral:rRNA from 1 species